rfam:Canis lupus familiaris chromosome 35, whole genome shotgun sequence.
ACCUGGGUGGCUCAGUGGUUGAGCACCUGCCUUUGGCUCAGGGUGUGAUCCCCAGGUC